UGAAUAAAUUCCCCAGCUCAUAAAAUUCACGCGGCCCCAAAGUGCAAUAAUAAUAAUAAUAAUAUGCGAGAUCCAACAGUGCGACAGAAGCAAUAAAUAAAUAAAUGAUGCGUGUGAACAGAGACCCAGAGAAGUCAAAAGGGAAAUUGAAUUUUCCCACAGGACCGGUCGGUCGGUCCGCAGGACGGAAGGUCAGAAAAGAUUGUGAGGGUGGAUGGAAAAUUGCAGAUGCAAUAAUUGCAGGAGCAGGGGCAGGCGAGUGGUUUCUGUGGUGGUUUCGCAUUUCCGUUUGCGGCUUAGAGUCGUCGACGGCCCACAUGCAAAGAAAAUAUUUGCACAUGCAUUGGACUUCCUUUUCCCGUCCCGUCCCUUACUUUCCGUCAGGAUGACUGGCCCCAUAUAUCAUUCGACAUUCAACACAGCAUGGAAUAUUCACGCCCUACGAGCCGGAUCCGCUUGUUCCGCCUGGAAAUAUACCGAUAUGACGUCAAUGCGUUAACACCCAACACACCAAUACACCAAUACACCAACACACCAACACACAAUCGGAACAAUUUGUGGGAUGAUGCCGGCGUCGAGCCCCGUCUCUGCCGCAAAACUUGCUCUAAUUUAGCAUUGUGUGGCUUUUUGCCUGGGCUACAGUGGGGGUUCAACUAAUAGAAGCUCCACAUAUGUAUUUGAUUAAAAUAAAGACUAAAGAAAUAA